CAUUGCAAUCAGCACGAAAUUCCGGUCACCGGCUAUCCCGGUCUAAUUUCCGGAAAAAUAAUUAAUAAUUAAAUAAUUACUGAAAUAAAUCAAUUUAAAUUCUAAAAAUACUAACUUAGGCCAGAAUCAUUAAAUUAAUAACCAAUACGGACUCGGAGAAAUUCCCGAACCCUACUAGAUAAAUAGUACAAUUUAUUUAGGCCUUAGCUAAACCAUGCUAACCACCUAACAUGCUCAAUUAAAUAAUUCAAUUUCUAAUUUAAUCUAACUAACCACCUAAUUCCUAAUAAAAUAAAUCUAACACCCCUUAAACGUUAUUAACCUACUAAGCAGAGUUUAGAGUAUAAACUCACCGGUGUAUCGCGAAAACCGGUUCACCGCGACGACGACGCGACGGCGGCUGAAAUCUUAAUUUUCGGCGGCGUCGGCAAACUUGGGCCGGGCCUAAAACGGGCCCAACACAACUCAGCAAGGCUGAGUUUCGGUCUUGGGCUUCUGCAGGGCUGCUGGUCGCGGGCUUGGGCCUUCUUCUUGGGCCCAAAAUGGCUGGACUGAAAUUGGGCUAGAACUAACUGAACUUGGGCCUAAGCUUGGGCUUCAAAGUCUGUGGUAGAUGGGCUGAAAAUCACUGGGCUGAAGACUUCAUCUGGGCCGAGGAAUUGCUGGCUGAUGAUGCGGACUGGAUACGGGCCCAACUGCUGACCAAAAUUCGCUGGCUUCGUGGACAAUGGUGCUGCCUUGCCUGGACUUCACUGGAAUCUUCAAGUAGCCGCGUUGAAGGAACUCUGGAUGAUCGGUUGGCAAGCUGCAGCGAAGAGGAGAUGGAACGAAGACUUGGCUUCGUGAGGACAAGAUGAAGACGCUGUGAAGAUGGGCCUCCGAUGGGAGACUUUGACCUCGUGCCGUCCAAGUGAGGACACGAAGAAGUGGGGGCAGGCGCGCAGCUUACGGAGUCAACCAGGUGGCCUCGCUUGAAAAUAAACAGAGAAGCAGCUUCGGCCACUUGCUGGAACGUGGAGCUUGACCGAAGAAAAUGAAGAAGACGGACGUAUGGUGCGAGCGUGGGCUACAAGCGGUCAACUGCUGAGCUUCGUGGGCUUGAAAGUUGACCAAGAGCUGCUGGUUGAGGGACAAGUGGCGAGGAUGAGGGGAAUUCGGUGGAUGGGCAGGCGUUUUCGGUGGGGGGUGUCGUUGCAGAGGAGAAGAACGAAAUGCAGAAGCUGAAAAAUGAAAAUGAAAGUGAAGUAGCACAUGGACGAGAAGAGAUCGACGUU
rnacentral:lncRNA from 1 species